GUGCUUGCUUUGGCAGCACAUAUACUAAAAUUGGAAUGAUACAGAGAAGAUUAGCAUGGCCCUUGCCCAAGGAUAGCACAUGAAUUUGUGAAGCAUUCCAUAUUUUU